AGUGAACGCUGGCGGUAGGCCUAACACAUGCAAGUCGAACGGCAGCACAGUAAGAGCUUGCUCUUACGGGUGGCGAGUGGCGGAUGGGUGAGGAAUACAUCGGAAUCUACUUUUUCGUGGGGGAUAACGUAGGGAAACUUACGCUAAUACCGCAUACGACCUACGGGUGAAAGCAGGGGAUCUUCGGACCUUGCGCGAUUGAAUGAGCUGAUGUCGGAUUAGCUAGUUGACGGGGUAAAGGCCCACCAAGGCGACGAUCCGUAGCUGGUCUGAGAGGAUGAUCGGCCACACUGGAACUGAGACACGGUCCAGACUCCUACGGGAGGCAGCAGUGGGGAAUAUUGGACAAUGGGCGCAAGCCUGAUCCAGCCAUACCGCGUGAGUGAAGAAGGCCUUCGGGUUGUAAAGCCCUUUUGUUGGGAAAGAAAAGCAGCAGGUUAAUACCCCGCUGUUCUGACGGUACCCAAAGAAUAAGCACCGGCUAACUUCGUG
rnacentral:rRNA from 1 species